rnacentral:rRNA from 1 species
UCUUAACUGGGCGUUAAGUUGCAGGGUAUAGACCCGAAACCCGGUGAUCUAGCCAUGGGCAGGUUGAAGGUUGGGUAACACUAACUGGAGGACCGAACCGACUAAUGUUGAAAAAUUAGCGGAUGACUUGUGGCUGGGGGUGAAAGGCCAAUCAAACCGGGAGAUAGCUGGUUCUCCCCGAAAGCUAUUUAGGUAGCGCCUCGUGAAUUCAUCUCCGGGGGUAGAGCACUGUUUCGGCAAGGGGGUCAUCCCGACUUACCAACCCGAUGCAAACUGCGAAUACCGGAGAAUGUUAUCACGGGAGACACACGGCGGGUGCUAACGUCCGUCGUGAAGAGGGAAACAACCCAGACCGCCAGCUAAGGUCCCAAAGUCAUGGUUAAGUGGGAAACGAUGUGGGAAGGCCCAGACAGCCAGGAUGUUGGCUUAGAAGCAGCCAUCAUUUAAAGAAAGCGUAAUAGCUCACUGGUCGAGUCGGCCUGCGCGGAAGAUGUAACGGGGCUAAACCAUGCACCGAAGCUGCGGCAGCGACGCUGAUGCGUUGUUGGGUAGGGGAGCGUUCUGUAAGCCUGCGAAGGUGUGCUGUGAGGCAUGCUGGAGGUAUCAGAAGUGCGAAUGCUGACAUAAGUAACGAUAAAGCGGGUGAAAAGCCCGCUCGCCGGAAGACCAAGGGUUCCUGUCCAACGUUAAUCGGGGCAGGGUGAGUCGACCCCUAAGGCGAGGCCGAAAGGCGUAGUCGAUGGGAAACAGGUUAAUAUUCCUGUACUUGGUGUUACUGCGAAGGGGGGACGGAGAAGGCUAUGUUGGCCGGGCGACGGUUGUCCCGGUUUAAGCGUGUAGGCUGGUUUUCCAGGCAAAUCCGGAAAAUCAAGGCUGAGGCGUGAUGACGAGGCACUACGGUGCUGAAGCAACAAAUGCCCUGCUUCCAGGAAAAGCCUCUAAGCAUCAGGUAACAUCAAAUCGUACCCCAAACCGACACAGGUGGUCAGGUAGAGAAUACCAAGGCGCUUGAGAGAACUCGGGUGAAGGAACUAGGCAAAAUGGUGCCGUAACUUCGGGAGAAGGCACGCUGAUAUGUAGGUGAAGCGACUUGCUCGUGGAGCUGAAA